rnacentral:lncRNA from 10 species
UUCUACUGCGGCUGCGCAAGCUCGACGCGCGCACUCUUGUCUGCUUACGAGGGCUCCUCCCUUCAGCUUUGGUCCCUCGGGGCGUCUGGGCAGCCUACGCUUUCCGACUGGAAUCAGCCAUUUUACCAAGAAAGUUGGGUUUCUUUUACUGGCAAAUAGUACUUCAAGAGCACAGUCUUAUGUAAGAAGUACAGUCUAUAUAAAGACUGUCCAGGACAAAAACUGGCCACUCCAUUCAGCAUUGACAGCAGUAUUUAAAGCUGGUGCAUGGUGAGGUGAAGUUUCUCAAGGGCAAAGACAAUGCCUUCAUGCAUGUUCAGUGUCUGCCCCCGUGGGCUUUGAAAUGAUCGCUGACAAUGGGGGAUCUGCAGUGACUUCUCUGCCUCUGCCAAAGCCCAGGGGUGCUGCUCCCUAAUUCUAAGGAUUCUAAUGAGACUCAGAGCAGGUGUAACACAGGGCAUGGAGCUUCCUGAGCAAGAGGCUGGCUAACAAACUGUGGACGUGGUACUUAGACACAUUAAGAGACAUUACAGGGACACCUGCAAGUAUGUCUCCCUGGGGAGAAGCCAAGUGCAGAUGCUAUGGCCACAGAUGAUAUGGUUUGGCUCUGUGUCCCCACUCAAAUCUCAUCUCAAGUUGUAAUCCCUGGAUGUCGAGGGAGGGACCUGGUGGGAGGUGAUUGGAUUGGUUCGCAUGAUAGUGAGGGAGUUCUCACGAGAUCUGGUUGUUUGAUAAGUGUCUGGCAUUUCUCCUGUGCUGUCUCUCCUGCCACCUUGUGAAGAAGGUGCCUGCUUCUCCUUCGCCUUCCGCCAUGAUUGUAAGUUUCCUGAGGCCUCC